rnacentral:tRNA from 1 species
UGUCAGAUAGCUCAGUGGUCUAGAGCAGUCGCCCGGCAAGCGAAAGACCCGGGUUCGAUUCUCGGUCUAGCGA